GACGAACGCUGGCGGCGUGCUUAACACAUGCAAGUCGAACGAUGAAGCGGGUGCUUGCACUCGUGGAUUAGUGGCGAACGGGCGAGUAACACGUGAGUAACCUGUCCUUUUCUUUGGGAUAACGGCUGGAAACGGCUGCUAAUACUGGAUAUUCAGGCUGCAUCGCAUGGUGUGGUUUGGAAAGGUUUUUUCUGGGAUUGGGUGGGCUCGCGGCCUAUCAGCUUGUUGGUGGGGUGAUGGCUUACCAAGGCUUUGACGGGUAGCCGGCCUGAGAGGGUGGGCGGUCGCACUGGGACUGAGAUACGGCCCAGACUCCUACGGGAGGCAGCAGUGGGGAAUAAUGCACAAUGGACGAAAGUUUGAUGCAGCGACGCCGCGUGGAGGGUGUAGGCCUUCGGGUUGUGAACUCCUUUUUCUCGCGAAAAAGGCACAGUUUUGGCUGUGUUGAUGGUAGUGGGGGAAGAAGCGCCGGCUAACUACGUG
rnacentral:rRNA from 1 species